rnacentral:tRNA from 1 species
GACUCGAUAGGCUCAGCCGGUAGAGCACUUCACUUUUAAUGAUGGCGUCCUGGGUUCGAGCUCCAGUCGGGUCAC